AGGACGAACGCUGGCGGCGUGCUUAACACAUGCAAGUCGAACGGUAAGGCCCCUUCGGGGGUACACGAGUGGCGAACGGGUGAGUAACACGUGGGUAAUCUGCCCUGCACUUCGGGAUAAGCCUGGGAAACUGGGUCUAAUACCGGAUAUGAGCUCCUGCCGCAUGGUGGGGGUUGGAAAGUUUUUCGGUGCAGGAUGAGUCCGCGGCCUAUCAGCUUGUUGGUGGGGUAAUGGCCUACCAAGGCGACGACGGGUAGCCGGCCUGAGAGGGUGAUCGGCCACACUGGGACUGAGACACGGCCCAGACUCCUACGGGAGCAGCAGUGGGGAAUAUGCACAAUGGGCGAAGCCUGAUGCAGCGACGCCGCGUGGGGGAUGGACGGUCUUCGGAUUGUAAACCCCUUUGAGUAGGGACGAAGCGCAAGUGACGGUACCUGCAGAAGAAGCACCGGCUAACUACGUGCCAGCAGCCGAC
rnacentral:rRNA from 1 species